rnacentral:rRNA from 1 species
GUGGGGAAUAUUGCACAAUGGGGGAAACCCUGAUGCAGCGACGCCGCGUGAGCGAAGAAGUAUUUCGGUAUGUAAAGCUCUAUCAGCAGGGAAGAAAAUGACGGUACCUGACUAAGAAGCCCCGGCUAACUACGUGCCAGCAGCCGCGGUAAUACGUAGGGGGCAAGCGUUAUCCGGAUUUACUGGGUGUAAAGGGAGCGUAGACGGAAUGGCAAGUCUGAUGUGAAAGGCCGGGGCUCAACCCCGGGACUGCAUUGGAAACUGUCAAUCUAGAGUACCGGAGGGGUAAGUGGAAUUCCUAGUGUAGCGGUGAAAUGCGUAGAUAUUAGGAGGAACACCAGUGGCGAAGGCGGCUUACUGGACGGUAACUGACGUUGAGGCUCGAAAGCGUGGGGAGCAAACAGGAUUAGAUACCCCAGUAGUCC